CCUAUACUGUGAGAAUCAGUAUCAACUUUGUGGGGCUUAUAUCUUAUUGUGUCCUUUACAGGAUAGAAAUAGAUUUAUUGGGGAUACAGAGCGUUGGCAUAGCCACUCUAAACCAAUCACAAUAAGUAUUAGUGCAGAGAAAUCAAAG
rnacentral:ribozyme from 1 species